rnacentral:rRNA from 1 species
AUGGAGCUGGAGCUGGAGCUGGGGCUUGCACCGCCGAACCACGCGGGUGCGUGCGGCAAGAGGGGGACGAAGGAGGCGUUCGGGAUCAACGAGGCAACGCUGCCACUCUUCCUUCGCGACGAUGACGACGGGGGUGACCACGGCAGCGGCGACGCUCGCCACUGGGAAAUGGGCAACAAGAGGAAGAGGCUGGUGGGGUGGCCGCCGGUGAAGAUCGGGCACCGCCCGCGCAGCAACGGCGGCCACGUGAAGGUGAAGAUGGAAGGGGUGCCCAUCGGGAGGAAGGUGGACCUGUCCCGCCACGCCUCCUACCACCAGCUCCCCCACACGCUCCGCCUCAUGUUCCCCUCCUCCACCAAUCACUAUGGUGAUCCAGAUGUAUGGGAGGAGCCGGGCCGGCAUGGCUGCCGCCGUGGUCGCGCCCCAUACGCGGUCACCUACGAGGACGGGGAUGGAGACUGGAUGUUAGUUGGAGACGCGCCGUGGGAGGACUUUGCCAGGUCGGCCAGACGGCUCAAGAUACUACUCGUGUAA